rnacentral:pre_miRNA from 1 species
UGACUGUAGUACAUCGGAAGCUUGAGUAGCCGGAGUUGUCCCUGUACUACGAUCAUC